GAAUUCGCCCUUGAGUUUGAUCCUGGCUCAGGACGAACGCUGGCGGCGCGCCUAACACAUGCAAGUCGAACGGAGCACGGCGGAAGAUCUCCUUCGGGAUUGAUUUUGCCAUUUGCUUAGUGGCGAACGGGUGAGUAACACGUGAGUAACCUACCUCCGAGUGGGGGACAACAUUUGGAAACGAAUGCUAAUACCGCAUAAGACCACGUCCUCGCAUGGGGAUGCGGCCAAAGGAGCAAUUCGCUUGGAGAUGGACUCGCGCCCGAUUAGCUAGAUGGUGGGGUAAUGGCCCACCAUGGCAACGAUCGGUAGCCGGACUGAGAGGUUGAACGGCCACAUUGGGACUGAGACACGGCCCAGACUCCUACGGGAGGCAGCAGUGGGGAAUAUUGCACAAUGGGCGAAAGCCUGAUGCAGCGACGCCGCGUGAGGGAAGAAGGUUUUCGGAUUGUAAACCUCUGUCUUCGGGGACGAUAGUGAUGGUACCCGAGGAGGAAGCCACGGCUAACUACGUGCCAGCAGCCGCGGUAAAACGUAGGUGGCAAGCGUUGUCCGGAAUUACUGGGUGUAAAGGGAGCGCAGGCGGGGUGCCAAGUUGGGCGUGAAAUCUAUGGGCUUAACCCAUAGCGUGCGCUCAAAACUGGCGCUCUUGAGUGAUGGAGAGGCAGGCGGAAUUCCCGGUGUAGCGGUGGAAUGCGUAGAUAUCGGGAGGAACACCAGUGGCGAAGGCGGCCUGCUGGACAUUAACUGACGCUGAGGCUCGAAAGCGUGGGUAGCAAACAGGAUUAGAUACCCUGGUAGUCCACGCCGUAAACGAUGA
rnacentral:rRNA from 1 species